rnacentral:tRNA from 1 species
GCCCCCGUGGCCUAAUGGUUAAGGCGUGAGCCUUCUAUCAUGGCAUAUCAGUCCAGGAUCCGAAGCUCAACAUUGCGGGUUGAGUCCCGCCGGGGGUU